rnacentral:lncRNA from 1 species
ACCAGAAAUAUGGCAGCAUGAGAAGAACUUGACCUGAUGUUGCUGGCUUUGAAGAUGGAGGAGGGAGUCAUAUGCCAAGGAAUCUAGGUGGCCUCUGGAAGCUGACAAAGGCAAGGAAAGGGUUUCCUGGAGUCUCCAGAAAGGAAUGUAGCUCUGCUUAUACCUGGAUCUUAGCUCAAAAGAUGUACAGAGAGGAGUUGUAAAAGAUAUGAAAAGAUCUGAAAUCUCCUAGCUUGAAGUUUCUCUCCCUCUUCUUGUUUACCAGGAAUGUGAACAGGGCACAUUGGCUCAUACCCUAAGAAAUUGAAAAAGAUAAUAGAGAGAGCCUGCAUGGACUGUUGAUUGGAACUAUGAGGAGGUCUCCACUAAGCGAAGACAUGAACAUGAGGAAGCCAGCCAUACAAAGGUCUCUUUGUUGUCUGCCUUUUUAGAUUUCAUCCUGCUCCCUAGUUACUGACCUUGAAGUUCAUGAGGACAAAAACUAUACCUGUUAUACUCACUGAUGUGUACCCAGCACAACCUAAUACAACAUACUGGAGAAUCUCAAAAAGCAAUACUCUUAUUAAAUAAUACCAAAAGUGCAAUGGAUUUUGGCCCAAAGUAAUGAAGAUGUGACCUCUACAAAUAAACAUUUCCUGAGAGUGGAUUCUGCAGGCAUCCAAAAGAGUAUGUUCAAAAUAAAAAAGCAAUUACACCACUUCCAGUUCCUCUGACUACCGCAGCAGAGUGGAGUACCCCAACCCCACCACAGAU